GCUGGAUUCCCUGGAGUACCUAGAGGCACUGGAGGGAGUGACAGAGCGCCUAGAGAGCCGUGUCAACUUCUGCAAGGCCCAUCUCAUGAUGAUCACCUGCUUUGACAUCACCUCCAGGCGUCGGUAAGGACCGAUGGGCUCCGAGCCAUCAGUCCCCCUGUCCCCAGGACUUCAGCAGGACACCGCCCUCCCAGGCCCCUCUGUGCUGGCAACACUCAAGACAACAGGACGAGGAUGAAGGUUGGUAGCAAGUCUGGAGUGAGCGUGGAGCGAAAGGCGAUGUUUCCUUUGUUUGCUGUAGGAAAGGAAGGUACAGACACCAACAUGUGGAAGGAGAAAAUGAUGGGAAGCCCCGUGGGACUGAGAAAGCACUUUGAGGAACCUUGAAGAACUCUGUACAUAGGACCGCUAGCAAAGAGACUCUUACCUUGCGGCUGUGAGAAAGGGGAGGGUGACGUGGGAUUACCAUGGAAAGCGAAACACCAACAAGACGACCCAGAAUGAUGGAUUAAGUGCCUUGCAAAUCUUUAUGAUUAUCCAAACAUUUGUGUUCGUACUUUCUUGUGUCCAGAUGGUGCUAGUCAAGAAGAAAAUCAACAAAACAGAAAACUCAACCCAGUUUUUGAAAUGUAUCUACGGCUUGUUUUCUCAUGUUUCUGAUUUGCUGUUUUGUUUCCGAGAAGUUGUGUUUGUAGUGAUGUCUCCUAAUCCGUAUUGCAGCUGAAUAAAUGUUACCUGUCUUUCAUGGCUAUUCUGGUAAGGCCCCUCAGAAUGGAAAUCACAUUGGCGUGAGCUGGUGUGUUUCCCAGGGAGGUUCGGAAGGACAGGUGAUAGGAGAUGCCACCUUCCAUAAACAGCAGGUCAGCUGGCAGACCCAGGGUCAGGCAUGGAAGGGGCGCACAUGAGCUUUAGUGACAAGGAAAGGAUGUCUUUAAGGGAAAGAGUGACCUGAGCCCCUGUUUCUGUUUGUUUCGUGUGCUCAUGGCUCUUGAUACAAACUCAUGUUCCUUUCUAAUCCAAAGACUCUGGGUGGGAAUCUUGAACGACUCCAGCAGAGUCCCAUUUCUUUGUUUUCUGUGGUGUAGCUGAUCCAGGGUGGGGCUGUCUGCAUUGCGACUCUCUGGGCUCACACAGGCAUCGGGUUGUGUCGCUUUCUGCCACCCAGAGUCCUGUCCAGUAGUAAGAGGCCAACUCUCCCCUGUCCUAAAGCCUC
rnacentral:lncRNA from 1 species